AUGAUCUGCCCAGCUCCUUUCAAAUUUGGCCUGGGCUCCGCGUCCUGCAGCCGCUGCAGGCUGCCUCUCUCUGCCCACCCUGUGGUCUUCCCACACGCCCUCCUCUCAUGCCCACUGUUCCUCUCCAGGGCGUCUCCAGAAAGCUUCCCUGGGCCUGAAAGAAGCCAGUGCCCUCCUCUGUGCCUGUGUUCUGCUGGGGUGCCAGGUGCCACCCAUGCUGGCCAGUUUGCCUCUAGGACUGGGACCGUGUCCGGGGUGACACAACACCCAGUCAUGGCCAGCAGCUGGACCCUGAGCACAUUUCGCACUGCUAAGAGAGUGGGACCUGUCUGGACAGCUAUUACUCCCUCAGACCGCUGAAAGGAAGGAAUUCUGCAGCGUGCAAACAGCUCCCCACUUAGAGGACACCGGGGAGUUGCUCUGUGACAGUUUUCACAGCUCACUACCAAGAUGCGCCUGCCCGGAAGUCACCCUGAUUACAGGAGGCCACCGGAGCACCUUUACCCCUUACAUGGCCUUUUGGCCAAGUGUGUCUGCUGUGCCUCCUCCAAAUGCUAUCACCUCCUCCAAGGGGAACGUGGGUUCCGAGGCCCCCUGGGCAAGUUCCGGUGUGGCCAACAGGGAGGCAUGUCUGCAUGGCAUACCACUCUCUCAUGAUUUGGUUUCAGUCUUUAUUGGUCUACUUCACAGAGGCCCAGGAGAUCACAGCUUACUGUCUCAGCCCUGGAAUAAGGUGCCGACUUAGGAGGUGUGGAGUGAUUUAUUAAAUGGAAUAUGGCACGGCAGGAAGCAGCCCUCUGGCCAUUUCCCAGGCUUUUCCUCCUAGGCUCACAGGAAGCAAAGAGUGAGGAGACUGCAGGUUGUAAAAAGAGGGUAGGUAAGCUUGGCUAAGCUCACAGAAGCUCUAGCAGCAGCGCAAAUGGCCAGUAAGCAUCUGAAAAGAUGCACACUUGCUCACUAUCUGGGAAACGCCGAUUCCAACCAUGGCAAGACACCAUGCUCCCACCCAUUCGAUUGGCAAAAUAUUGACGUUGGCAGAGGUGGAAGCCAUCUCCCAUUCACCAAGCGUGCACUGGCAUUGCUGUUUUUAGAGCAAUUGGCUAGACUUUAUAAACUGCAAAAUGCACAUUCCCUUGGGCCCCGAAUUUUUCUUUCCAGGUAUCUGGUCUUUCAGCAAUGAAGACUGCAGAAAGGAUGACCAAAGAUGUUCACGGCUGCAGCGCCUGGGUGCAAAACAGCAGCGGCGGCAUAAAGACUACCGAUAAAUAAAGUGGUGGGUGGGGGGGGCACUGGGGAUGGAGCUCGACUGGCCAGACUCGGUGUAAAUGAAAAGCCAAGCUGUGAAACGAAACUACAGUGUGGUCCAUUUUGGUAAAAUGGGGGGGAGGGCUGUGAAGAAAAAUUAUUUACACACCUAGGCAGAUGAACCGGAAAAACUGUGAGGUUGCCCUGCCUACCCACCAUCUACCUACCCGUCCACCUAACAGCCUCCAGCACCUCUGGUGGAGGAACUGAAACGGGGAGAAGGACUUUUUGUAACUGGAAUGCACUUGUGUGACACUUGUGUAUAAUGGCUUCAGCGUAGGCUGGCCUGUGCUCAGGCCUCUAAAGGCAUGUGUUACCUUUUGAAUCCACACCUGAGAUCGGGAUUGUUGAUCCAGGUGACACCUCCUUCCCCUGUCCCCCUGCCUGCCAGGCCUGGGGACCAAAGUGCCCAGAAGGCCUUUUACUAUCUCAGCCCUGGAACUUAACUCGCUCAGGUUGGGGAAAGGCAAAAAACAAGGUGGUGGACGCUGCUGUCACUGAGCUGAGACGUGCCGAAGAGCGGAGCGCAGCCGGGACACCCACGGCCCUCUGGGGUGCCUCCGCUCCCUGGUGAGGUCACAGGAUGCCUCGGGUCCCAUGGCCUGGAAGGGGGACUUGUUUGUAGAUGGCACAAUCUGAACUUGCCUUGAAAGGCCACAGGCAGCAGCCCUCUGCCCUCCCAAGACCUGAAGGCUCUGCGCCUUGCUGGACAUCCCGGGAUGGGGGUGGGCUGUGCUUGCAGAGGGAGCACUGAGAUCACUGCCAGGUCACUCACUCACCAUCAUCACGACUCAGUGUUUACUGAGCAUCUAGUAAGGACAAGGAUGCAGGAGUCCCAGGGUCCUGACCAACAGGUUGAGAGCAAGGGAAGAGACCAGAUCCUACUACAAUAGGACAGAGUACACUUGCCUUAAAGCAAUUUGGAAUCUGGUCGGGGUCUCUGUGGGCUAUUAU
ensembl:lincRNA